rnacentral:lncRNA from 1 species
UUGACAGAGCAAUCACUGAAAUACAUUUUAUUAAUCAAAAUUGAUCUUAAUCAGCAAAACAGUUCGAAGAAUAAAAACAAAAUAUAUCAAUAUCAUACAGACAAACAAAAGUGAUUCGAAAAUUGAAAACAAAUGCCCAAGCACAUAAACAAACACUAGAAUCCAUAGAAUUCGCCAAAAAUUAUACAACUCUGCUAAAUAAUAUAAAAAUUUAUAUUUAACAAAUUUAUUAAGAUGAAGGAGCAAUAAGUAGUGGGGUUGCUUCAACGACUUUUGUCGGAGCAAUGCUGAAAUCCAAGAUCUGGCCAGAUUUUACCAUUUUCUAAUGAGACAGUGUCUAUGGGGUUGUUCAUCGGUUAUCGUUGGUUAGAUCCGAUGAAGACGACAGGAAUAAGGGAAAGGGAAAAGGGGUGACGUUGGUUGUUGGGUUUUCAUCAGUGGAGCUCUGACGGUGGAGGCUAUGAUAGUUCAUUGUUGGUGUUAGUGGUUGCCGGUCAUCUAGUGGACAAUACCGACGGCAGCUGUGAGUGGGGUUUUGCCGGUGGUUGGUUCAGGUGGCUACCGGUGACUGCUAUUGAUAUCAAAAUCGGCUAGAGGUACUAGUUAUUGCCAGCAGAAGAGGAGAGGGGAGAAGGAAUCCAGCCAUCUGGUAGACUGCUUCGAUGACGACGGUAGGUGGAGGAGAUAAGAGGGAGAGAGAAAAAU